rnacentral:rRNA from 1 species
GAACGCUGGCGGCAGGCUACACAUGCAGUCGCAGUCGGAAGCUUGGCCUCGGCUUAGUGGAGACUGGCGCACGGGUGAGUAACGCGUGGGAACCUACCCUGGGGUGGGGAAUAACCGCUGGAAACGGCGGCUAAUACCGCAUACGCCUUUAGGGGGGAAAGCCUUAGGGCGCCCUGGGAUGGGCCCGCGUUGGAUUAGCUUGUUGGUGUGGUAACGGCGCACCAAGGCAUCGAUCCAUAGCUGGUCUGAGAGGAUGAUCAGCCACACUGGGACUGAGACACGGCCCAGACUCCUACGGGAGGCAGCAGUGGGGAAUAUUGGGCAAUGGGCGCAAGCCUGAUCCAGCCAUGCCGCGUGAGUGAAGAAGGCCUUAGGGUUGUAAAGCUCUUUCGCCCGCGAAGAUUAUGACGGUAGCGGGAAAAGAAGCCCCGGGUAACUCCGUGCCAGCAGCCGCGGUAAUACGGAGGGGGC